rnacentral:lncRNA from 1 species
CCUGAGAACGCCAUCAUUGGAGACUCAAUCUUUUUACAUUUGGAGCAGUGGUUCUCAAAGUGAGGGCUGAAUGCUCAGUGUAUCGGUGAUGAUUCAUCGUUGGUUGAAAGAAGGUUGGAAAAUGCCACGGGAAAGCUGUAGAUCUGCAUACAGAUAUCUCGAUGAUCAAGAGCAGCCAGCAGUCAGAGGUGACUGGCCCUCUGUCGUUGGUGUUAGCAAGGAGGAUAAAGACAGUGUCUGCUUUUAGAAAAAGCAUUUAGGUGAAUCUCCUGGCUGAGUGCUCCUGUGGGGCUUGGAUAAUGCUGAUGAAUAUGUGC